rnacentral:rRNA from 1 species
AAGAAAGUAAGCAAGGGCGCAUGGCGGAUGCCUUGGCUCUCGGAGGCGAUGAAGGACGUGAUAAGCUGCGAUAAGCUCUGGGUAGGUGCAAAUAACCUUUGAUCCAGAGAUUUCCGAAUGGGACAACCCGGCAUUCUGAAGGAAUGUCAUCCAUCUUUGAUGGAAGCUAACGCAGGGAACUGAAACAUCUUAGUACCUGUAGGAAAAGAAAAUAAUAAUGAUUCCCCUAGUAGUGGCGAGCGAACGGGGAAUAGCCCAAACCACCCAUGUUACGGCAUGUGUGGGGUUGUAGGACCACGAUGUCGCAAGACAUUUGAUGAGUAGAAUCCUCUGGAAAGUGGAACCAUAGACGGUGAUAGUCCGGUAUACGAAGUCAAAUUAAGCGUAGUGGUAUCCUGAGUAGCGCGGGACACGAGAAAUCUUGCGUGAAUCUGCCGGGACCAUCCGGUAAGGCUAAAUACUCCCGAGAGACCGAUAGCGAACCAGUACUGUGAAGGAAAGGUGAAAAGCACUUCGAAUAGAAGAGUGAAAUAGUCCCUGAAACCGUGCGCCUACAAGCGGUCGGAGCUGCGUAAGCAGUGACGGCGUGCCUUU